UGAAAAAUGAAAAGUUGGAGAGAAAGGAAGAACACGUGAAAGAACAAGAGAAGAGAAGAGGAGCAAGGAGGAGGAAAACCCCAAAGCUCAAGGAGAAUCAAGAAACUAAUUCCAGAUUGAAGUAGCGGCCUAAGCGAUCGGUGAGGAUGACUCGUAGAGUUUAUCCAGUUAUGUUGGGUCGUGUCGGUCAUGCUCUGAUCUUGUAACACUGGGGGACGAUAGUCUUAGAGUUUACUAGUGAUACACUAUUUUGCCAUUAUUGUAUAAUGUACCGUUGAUUUUAUCGGAAAUGUUUUAUAACAUUGUUGAAUGAGUUUCCGCUGUGCUGAACAUGUAUUUUGAUAUUUUUGGAUUAUUCUUAAUAAAGCAUGACAAA